CCGAGUUUACAACUCCCAAACCCAAUGUGAACGUUACCAAACUGUUGCCUCGGCGGGAUCUCUGCCCCGGGUGCGUCGCAGCCCCGGACCAAGGCGCCCGCCGGAGGACCAACCAAAACUCUUUUGUAUACCCCCUCGCGGGUUUUUAUAUCUGAGCCAUCUCGGCGCCUCUCGUAGGCGUUUCGAAAAUGAAUCA
rnacentral:misc_RNA from 2 species